CAGGACCAAAGGAAGGAAAAGGCAUGGCAGCAGGAGAGCAGGUUCAGAGGGAUCAAAUCGCUGGGGCUCCAGUGGAGGGGAUCCAACAGGCCCUGAGAGGAUUGGAUCUGCAUGCUGUGGACCCUCUCAGGGUGCAGAGGCGUGAUCUGAUGAAAUAUUCCUGUGAACUCACACUGGACACAAACA